AAUUGACGGGGAGCACCACAACGGGUGGAGCUUGCGGUUUAAUGGAUCAACGCCGGAAAUCUUACCGGGACCGACAGCAAUAUGAAGGCCAGGCUGAAGACUUUGCCGGAUUAGCUGAGAGGUGGUGCAUGGCCGUCGUCAGUUCGUACUGUGAAGCAUCCUGUUAAGUCAGGCAACGAGCGAGACCCACGCCCACAGUUGCCAGCGUACUCUCUGGAGUGACGGGUACACUGUGGGGACCGCCGCUGCUAAAGAGGAGGAAGGAAUGGGCAACGGUAGGUCAGCAUGCCCCGAAUUAUCUGGGCUACACGCGGGCUACAAUGGGUGGGACAAUGGGUAUCGACACCGAAAGGUGAAGGCAAUCUCCUAAACCCAUCCUUAGUUCGGAUUGUGGGCUGCAGCUCGCCCACAUGAAGCUGGAAUCUGUAGUAAUCGUGUUUCAAAAUAGCACGGUGAAUAUGUCCCUGCUCCUU
rnacentral:rRNA from 1 species